CGACGGCCGUACCAUGCUGAAUAUACCGGUUCUCGUUAGAUGAAAGAAGUCAAGCAUCAUUGGGCGCGGUCAGUACUUGAGUGGGA